CCGGAGAGGGAGCCUGAGAAACGGCUACCACAUCCAAGGAAGGCAGCAGGCGCGCAAAUUACCCAAUCCCGACACGGGGAGGUAGUGACAAUAAAUAACAAUACGGGGCUCUUUCGGGUCUCGUAAUUGGAAUGAGUACAAUUUAAAUCCCUUAACGAGGAACAAUUGGAGGGCAAGUCUGGUGCCAGCAGCCGCGGUAAUUCCAGCUCCAAUAGCGUAUAUUAAAGUUGUUGCAGUUAAAAAGCUCGUAGUUGAAUUUCGGGAUUGACACAUCGGUCGUGCCUUAAGGGGUAUGAACUGGUGUAGUCAAUUUCUCACCUUCUGGAGAACCACGAUGCCCUUAAUUGGGUGUCGCGGGGAACCAGGACCUUUACUUUGAAAAAAUUAGAGUGUUUAAAGCAGGCAUUUUGCUUGAAUACAUUAGCAUGGAAUAAUAAAAUAGGACGGCAUGAUUCUAUUUUGUUGGUUUCUAGGAUCACCGUAAUGAUUAAUAGGGAUAGUUGGGGGCAUUAGUAUUCAAUUGUCAGAGGUGAAAUUCUUGGAUUUAUUGAAGACUAACUACUGCGAAAGCAUUUGCCAAGGAUGUUUUCAUUAAUCAAGAACGAAAGUUAGGGGAUCGAAGACGAUCAGAUACCGUCGUAGUCUUAACCAUAAACUAUGCCGACUAGGAAUCAGACGAUGUUAAUUUUUUAAUGACUCGUUUGGCACCU
rnacentral:rRNA from 1 species